rnacentral:tRNA from 1 species
GCCUGGGUGGCUCAGUGGUUGAGCAUCUGACUUUGGCUCAGGCCCUGAUCCCAAGGUGUUGGGAUCAAGUCCAGCAUUGGGCU